rnacentral:rRNA from 1 species
AUUGAACGCUGGCGGCAUGCCUUACACAUGCAAGUCGAACGGUAACGGGCCUUCGGGUGCCGACGAGUGGCGAACGGGUGAGUAAUACAUCGGAACGUGCCCGAUCGUGGGGGAUAACGAGGCGAAAGCUUUGCUAAUACCGCAUACGAUCUACGGAUGAAAGCAGGGGACCGCAAGGCCUUGCGCGGGCGGAGCGGCCGAUGGCCGAUUAGGUAGUUGGUGGGAUAAAAGCUUACCAAGCCGACGAUCUGUAGCUGGUCUGAGAGGAUGAUCAGCCACACUGGGACUGAGACACGGCCCAGACUCCUACGGGAGGCAGCAGUGGGGAAUUUUGGACAAUGGGCGCAAGCCUGAUCCAGCCAUGCCGCGUGCAGGAUGAAGGCCUUCGGGUUGUAAACUGCUUUUGUACGGAACGAAAAGCCUUCUUUUAAUACAGGAGGGUCAUGACGGUACCGUAAGAAUAAGCACCGGCUAACUACGUG